CCUAAUCAGGGGAAGACAUUUUCAUGGGUGUGAGGCAAUGGUACUCAUGUCAACAACACACAUUCAUUCAGGGGGUCGUCAGGACGGUCACUUGGGGCUUCCUCAGCCCCCUACAUGGAGGUGUUCCUUACUUUGAAGUGUAACUUUCUGCUGUGGCAUCGAACUGGCCAGGCUAAAUUCUAAGAAAAUCUGGCAUCCCCGGGGAGUUGGACUGCGGCUGUAAUCUUCUCUUGAACUGAGCUUCUGGAAAGGCUCUAGGACCAAGUUUGGACACAAAAAAGCCCCAUUGAACAGAGCUGUUAAAAGGCAUUUGAGAACAAUGAACUUUCAGGACUGCCUCCUGUCUACCUGGGAAGACGGCUCUUGUCCCACUCCAUUUCAGCAAUGGGGUGUCACAAGAGGCUUACACAUGUAACCCCCGCAAGGAUGGAAAUGAGUGUUCCUCAGCAAAAGAGGAAGCGGAGGGGGUGAGGAAGUGGAGGAGGGAACCUGGCUACGCUGUGCUUUGAUGGCCUUAUAUUUCCAAGCCCUGGGAAAGAAGAAUUGGAGCUGCAGAACUCAAUAUAGAGCAGCGAUCUGUGGUCGGGGGAAUGCGGCACAUCUGCCUUUUAUAGGUUUGGAAUGAAAAAUGUUUUUAAUUAAGGAGUGGAAUUGGGGCUUUUAGUCUUGCUACAUGCUAUGUACCUGUCAAACCUGCUGGAUGGGAAUUUAGCUGUGACCUCUCACCCCCUCCAACCUACAUUAACCAAAGGACUGCUAGAACCCAGAAGAACUCUGAGUACCCGAGAAUGCCUCUGUGCCCGACUCAAAACAGAAUGGACCCCAGCACAGAAAACCUCUGCCCCUCCUGGCGGGGGGGGGGGGUGCGCAUUGCAACCUGACUUCAGCUGAUUGUCUCGAGUGUGGAAGAGAAAAGUGGUCAGUGUCAUCGUUGGUUACGAACUGACACUUCAAGUCAAGAAGGCUUAGGGGCCCCACGUAGCUAUAGUGACGAUAAAAACCCAGAAAUAAUUUUUUUUACAAAAAAGUUAUGAAGUGAAACAUUACCAGAAAUGCUAAGUGCUAGAGAUGCAAAGUGCUAGAGAUUCCUGCUAAGGAAUCCUCAUCCCCCAUCCUUUGAGUCCUGUUCAUGCGAUGACAGCUGAGCCCGAGAUGCCCCUAAGAAGGGGCUUCCUGGGAUUUUGCAGGAAGGAGAAGGAACUGCAGCAAUAAGGCCCUGUUGUCUCCUGGUGGUCAGCUAUGUGGUUGUCCGAGCUCCGUUUCUGGUUUCCCUUAUUUUCACAAGUGCCUCCAGGCCUAAGGUGCGGCGGCCACAGGAAGCAGGACUGCUUGCUCUCCAGGAAGUGGACUGGAACUACUCCUUUUGGAUCUUCAAAGAGGAGGGUGGCCUCAUGGCAGCUCCGUGCUUUUCUAGGUCCCAGCACCCCUGCAUUGUUACACGUCUUCCUCACUGGUUCUGCUUCCUGUUGCUCUGCCUAUAGCGUCCCAUCUCAACCAUUGAAGAUCUAAUGACAAUGUAACAUUUUCCAGGCCCAAAGGAUUGACCUUUACCCUUUCACAGCUAUGAAAACAUUUUAAUAUGACCUUUGUGAUUUUUUUUAAAGCAAAUUCUUUAGUUAGUCUACCAAAGGUGAACCAUUCUUUCUCUUCUCUCUUUCUCUUCCCUCCUAGCCUUAAACUAGUGUUUAAUCUACACGUUGGUAAAAUGUGCUCUACAUCCAGUUCAAAUGUCUCCUCUGUGCUGAAGUAUCCCCCCUCACUAGGCAGAAACAACUGUUCUUGUGUCCACGGCUGGUCCCUUGCUGUUACAUCCUUAAUUCACAACCGAGGGUCAACGUGCCUGCCUGCCUGCCUUGGACUGUCAGCCACCUCAAGCAGAAAGUCUGUGGUCUUCUUUGCAUCUCUAGCACUUAGCGCGAUUUCUGGCCUAUUGAAAAUGCCCUAUGAUUGUUGUUAGAAGGAACUGAGUUCAGAAUAGAAGAAUGAAGAGGAUCAGGAAAAUGGUGGUAGAUUUUGGAAGGCUUGGUGGAGAAAUGAUUUUCAUGGAAUGGAGACCAAUUCUUGGUCAUGGUUAAAGUCAAGGACAGUUGUAACUUACCAACUAUAUUAGACCUCUUGUGUAAAACACACACACACACACACACACACACACACACACACACACACAUCACUUAUAUAUCCAUAUAGACAUAUCACAUGUAGAAAAAUAUUUACAAUUUAAAAAGUUACGGCAUGUAUUAAAUUAUAUUGCUUUCA